rnacentral:ncRNA from 1 species
AACAGGUUUGGUCCCAGCCUUUCUAUUAACUGUAAACAAACUUACACAUGCAAGUAUCCGCAUUCCAGUGAGAAUGCCCUAUAAAUCGCCCUAGCGAUAUAAAGGAGCGGGUAUCAAGCACACCAACAGGUAGCUCACAACACCUUGCUCAACCACACCCCCACGGGAAACAGCAGUGAUAAAAAUUAAGCAAUAAACGAAAGUUUGACUAAGUUAUAUUUACUUUAGGGUUGGUAAAUUUCGUGCCAGCCACCGCGGUCAUACGAUUAACCCAAGUCAAUAGAUCCACGGCGUAAAACGUGUUUAAGACAAUUAAAUGAUAAAGCCAAACUCUAACUACGCUGUAAAAAGCCACAGUUACCGUAAGCCCUACAACGAAAGUGACUUUAGAUAAUCUGAAUACACGACAGCUAAGACCCAAACUGGGAUUAGAUACCCCACUAUGCUUAGCCCUAAACCUAAAGAAUCCACAUAACAAGAUUCUUCGCCAGAGUACUACUAGCCAAAGCUUAAAACUCAAAGGACUUGGCGGUGCUUUAUAUCCUUCUAGAGGAGCCUGUUCUAUAAUCGAUACACCCCGAUAAACCUCACCAAUCCUUGCCAAUUCAGCCUAUAUACCGCCAUCUUCAGCAAACCCUAAAAAGGCCCUACAGUAAGCUCAAUCAUAAUACAUAAAAACGUUAGGUCAAGGUGUAGCUUAUGGGUUGGAAAGAAAUGGGCUACAUUUCCUAUCAACAGGAUAAGAUUUUUCCCUUAAACGAAAGUCCUCGUGAAACCGAGAACUAAAGAUGGAUUUAGCAGUAAACUAAGAAUAGAGUGCUUAGUUGAAUAAGGCCAUGAAGCACGCACACACCGCCCGUCACCCUCCUCAAGUGCCAACGAUACCCUCAAUUCUAUUUUUACAUAUCACAACCACUAGAGGAGACAAGUCGUAACAAGGUAAGCAUACUGGAAAGUGUGCUUGGAUAACC